rnacentral:lncRNA from 13 species
CAGAUUGUAAGAUCAUGCAUACGUAUUCAAGUUGAUUCUUUUCCAGCCUUAGGAACCCGAUAAACCCUAGGAACAUAUCUGAAGCAGGGACACCUCAGAGAGUUUUUACUCAUGAUGGAGUGGAUACAGGCACAUCGCAGAACCAGGGAAGGAGCAAGAGAGUGUUGCUUGGGUGACAAAACCCCAGGAAAUCAAUGGCUGACGCUGUCCGAGUUGGAGCCAAUUGACCAGCAACAGCCAGUUUGGGGACCUAGAAUACACAGACCAGGAAAGAG